UCUCUUGAAGCUGGGCCUAUGGAAGCAUC
rnacentral:piRNA from 1 species